CGCACAGGCCCAAACCGGCUUUUCCGGCCGCCUAGCACUCAGCUUCACCGGGCUUCUAGCCUCUGGCCUCUGGUGUGUAGGAGGCAGGGGAGAAGGUUGCUGUGGGGCCUGGUGCUGGCCUUGGAGAGAAACUGGAAAUGGGCAUCUAUCUCUGUCUGAGGGAAAGCUAUCAGAGGGGUAGAACCCAGUGGCCCCUCCCUGCUAAUGCUGCAUCCAGUCCAGGCCCAAGGCACCCAGAAGCUCUGGGCUAACCCUGAUCUGCACUGUGACAUAGAUGACAGAUUUAGCAGCAGAGGAUGAAAUCCAAGAAGCAAUUCAUCGGCAGUGAAGAAACAUGGGUUCCCUCACAGACCCAGCAGUAUCUGGGACCAGAGCACACAAGCAGCCUUUUGUGUUGCCAGGUAGCUGGCUGAGAUCCUGGUCUCAUGCCUGAAGGCUGUUCAGUAUCAGAACAGUGACAGCUGGCCUCAGCACAUGGCAACUGAUGGUCAGCCCUGAUGAAGAAAGGAUAAUGGAGAAAGAGCUGGUUGUCAUGUCACCGCUGCUCACAUGAAGGAUGCUGGAUGGCUAAUCAGUGGAAUAGAGCCUGUUCUUAGAGUAUAACUAUGCCGAGAAGGAAUCACACCAGCACCCAACCUGGCUAGCUCCCAACUCCGGCAGCCUCCUACAUACACACAUGCCUUUGAAGGGGAAGGCGUCGGAGCUUCUCUGGUAGUACUCUGUUUUGUUCUAAGUGAACCAGCUCUUGCCUGCUGGAGUCCAUGGGAGUGGGAAGGGGCUCAGCACCAGCUUUCUCCGUCGAAUGUCUCCAAAUUCACACUGGACACAUUCCCCAUACUUCUACUAGUGCCUGGGGUCCAGCUGUUUGUUCUUGUCACCUCCUUGGGAGCUCCUUGCUCCCAGACAGGGACUAUCCUGGGAGCUAACCUUGGGUAGCCCUUCUGUGUAUUAAUUAUAUGGAAGUGUUAGCAAGGGGACACAGAGGCUAUAGUAGGUCUCUCAUCUGAAGCCAGAGCAGAGCAUGGCACUCAGGGCAGCCCCACGAGUGGCCUCCCCACCACUGAGUAGACAGAGGCCUGCUGUCUGAAGUGCUCCAGGCCUCCUUGUGGGGAAUAAGCCCUUGUGAGAGGGUUCCUCCAAGGUAACUCACCAGGACAGGGAGGAUUGCUGAGAAGGGAACCCCGAGAGUUGCUGAGAAGAGUCAGGCAUCACCUUCUGGGAACCUGUCCUUUGGUGUCAGCCCAGGAGUAAGGUAGGGUCUUUUACCCCCAUUUCCCAGCCCAGCCUCCAGUGUGCUAUACCAUGAAAUCAGACUGAGAAGAAAGAAUGGCUAAUGUGCUUUUUUGUUUUUGUUUUGUUUUCUGAGACAGAGUUUCUUGGUGUAGCCCUGGCUGUCCUAGAA